CACAAAAUUACUGAAAUGGGGCAUUUAAACCAAGCCAAGUUUUUCAAUGAAAAAGUUCAUGAUAUGGCAGCCUCUUUCCUUUGAAGAAUAGUCAGAAGGCUCAGAAUAGGUCAAUUUUAUAGAGGCAUGAUACUUUCCUAAAGAGGUAUGGACCGAUAUGAGGUUUUAAGCUUUUAUGCUACCUCUGUGUCUUGAAAACAUAGAAACAUUAAAUUUCCGACAAAGAAACAGAGGGACUGGGAGAACUUUUUUUGUUCUGAGUACAGAGUAGAACUGAAGUAAAUGUGAAACAAUGCCAGCGAAAAAUAGUCAAAAGGCCACUAAAGCAAGGAAAAGAAGCAAGGCAUAAUUCCAAGUUUUGGGGGACCACAGCUGUAUACUGAAGAUUACCAGGGGCCAUCAUGAAACAAGGUGCAUAUACUGCAGUUUACAUCUGGGUGAGUAAAUUAUAUAAAAUGACUUCAGGUAUUAUUGGCUUGAGGAAUUAGACUAUUCGUGAUGCAUGCAAUUUUUUUUCACAGCUGACUCCCAGAAGCAAAUGAAUGACUUCACCCAUGACUUACUCCUCUAAGAAGUAAUGACAGAAAUGAUGUCAGGGAAAACCCUGGAGUUGAAUUCUUGACCAGUCAUGGUUUGACUUGAGCCACAGCUGCCUUAUUUGUAAAAUCAUAAAAAUAACACUUGUCCCAACAUAAAAAAAAUUGUGGUGUGAACCCAGGGUGAGAAGUUAUAUGUGAAUGUACUCUAAAAUGUAUAGAUUUCUGUUGUUUUAUUAUUAUUAAAUAGCGUUUUUAUCUUUUGUCAGACCCUGAAGAACAUAUUUGUAUACAAUCCUGAGUAUCCCCUGAAAACCUGUUUUUAUGGAGAAACUUUAGAAGUGUUCAUUGAUUUGGGUUAUAGAUUCUUAUCUGUCGCCCGGUUUGGAGUACAGUGGCACAACUGUAGCUCACCACAGCCUCAACCUUCUGGACUCUAGCAAUCCUUCUGCCUCAGCCUCCCAAGUAGCUGGGACGACAGGUCGGUGCCACCAUGCCCAGCUAAUUUUA
rnacentral:lncRNA from 1 species